UACGAAGGGGGCGAGCGUUGUUCGGAUUUACUGGGCGUAAAGGGCGCGCAGGCGGCUCAUUUUGUCAGGCGUGAAAGCCCCGGGCUUAACCUGGGAACUGCGUUUGAUACGGAUGGGCUAGAGUUCGGGAGAGGAGAGUGGAAUUCCCAGUGUAGAGGUGAAAUUCGUAGAUAUCGGGAAGAACACCGGUGGCGAAGGCGGCUCUCUGGACCGAGACUGACGCUGAGGCGCGAAAGCGUGGGGAGCGAACAGG
rnacentral:rRNA from 1 species